rnacentral:lncRNA from 1 species
GAUGUAGACAAGCAGGGGACAGGGUGGAUACUGUUUUGCUAUGGGUUGAGUAGUGGUCAGGGGCAGGAGCUUUCUCCCAGCCACAAGGUCUCAGGACUAGUUCUGGAGGGACUGAGGUCCCAGGUUCUGAGGCAUUCAAGCACAAACUCAACCAAUACCCUUCUCAGGAGUAUGCCUUCAGCCUUUGAGCGGUUGGUCCGGAGCGUGGUCCGGGAGCUGGACCACAGCAGGGAGCUCAUCCCAGUGGACAGUCUUCAGAGCUCCACCAGCUACCAGCCUUACAGACUGCUGAGCAGGAAGUCCCCAAGCUCCUGGUUCUGGAGACCUCGUUAUACCUGUGUCAACCUGUCAAUCAAGGACAUUUUGGAGCCUGAUGCCCCAGAACCAGGUAUCCAGGGAGAAGAAAGGAGUGGCCUGGCCACACCUGCCACCUGCUAGGCUCACCAGCUCUGGGCCUCUGGCCCUGUUUGCAGAGGGUUGGCCUUUUCAAAGGUCCCACUGCCUGCGGGUGGGACAGGACAGUAGCAGGUGGGACAGGCCCCAUGCUCAGGUCUGGUCUUGCUUCAGAGUUGGAGCGUAGUGGCCCUUUCCACUUCUAUGACGCUGUGGACGGCCAGCUGCAGGGCAGUGUGGAGCUGGGAGCCCUGGGACAAGGGAAGAUCUCAGGUGGAGCUGCAGUGUCCGGCAGCUCCAGUGCUUCCAUGAACGUGUGCACGCUGCGUGUGGACCCAAACACUUGGGAGAUCAUGCAACAGGAGAGGUGAGCUCUGGAGGGACUGAGGUCCCUGACCCUGUGCAGCCACACAUAUGGGGAGGCCACUGGGUCAUGGACAUCAGGAGAAUCCCAAGGCCAUGCCUGUGUGCCAGCAAGGAGAGUCUAAGAUGCAAGGGAGCGCUGUGGCCAUGGUGGGCUGCCAGGGAAGGAGGCGGCACAGUCACCCAGACCUCAGUUGCAAGGACAUAUCAUGAAGGCAGGGACCUGGGGAUCAAACUGAGCCUCAGGCUCAGUGUAGAGGAGAGUAAAGGCUAGCGGGUGCCCCGGGGUCCCAUGGGUCCACUUCUCCCUGCUGGACCUCAUCCCUCCUCUUCACACCCACCUAGACACUGUUGGGAGUACCCAGGAAGGGUACCCAUGCCUGGCAUCUGCAGACUCCCAGAUGCCCUUGCCACUUCACCCCACCCAUCGUGGGGCAGUGGGGAGGCCAGUCUGUGGUGGACAUACCCCAGUGAGCUUCCUGCAGGCGCCUGCGGCAGCCCGAACACAAGAUCCUGGAGCAGCUGAGGAAUCGCAGGGACAAUGUGUAUGUGGUGACGGAGGUGCUACAGACCCAGGAAGAGGUGAAGGUCACCCAAACCCGCAAGAAGGAGGGCUCGGGCCAGUUUGCACUGCCUGGAAACAUGUGCCUUCAGGUGUGUGGCCGGCCCUCAGCCCAUCUUGGCCUGACAUGAACGCAGGGUGGCAGCAGGCGAGGUUUUGCCAAGAGCCCUGCAGGAGCAGUUCACAGCCCCACGCUUGACCCAGGGCUCCCCAAAGCCUGGGUUGGCUGACACCAGUAGCAAGCUUGUUACUAGCACCCAGCCCACACCACACCCCACGUCCCCACACCUAGGGCCCAGUCCUGCUAUGUCUAUUCGUCCCUCAGGGUGAGAGCCAGGGCCACCUGAGCCGGAAGAAUACGGUCACCGUCCCUGCAGGCAGCACCCUUGCAUUUCGAGUGGCCCAACUCAUCAUUGGCUCUGACUGGGGUCAGUAGAGCUGGGGAUGUCUCUGGGGCCCAGACGCCAUGGAGAGGUGGAAGGCCUUGGGAGGGCCACCAGCUGCCUAGGGGCUGCUGCAGGCAUCUGCUGCUCAACCUCCCAGGGCUCUGGUGUGUGGAAGACUGAGGCAAGGCCUCACCUGGGGAGGGGGCCUGUGCAGGAGGGGAUCCUGGUGACCUCCUUCCCCUCUCUGCUCCCACCCAUCGCCAGACAUACUCUUCUUCCCGGAUGAGAAGCAGAGGACCUUCCCACGGUCCCCCAAAGGUGAGCCCUGCCUGUCCAAAGGGAGAACCCUUCCUUUGCUAUUAAGGCCUUCUCCUGUGUUCAGGACCCGUGGUGCUGGACAGCCUCCCCAAAGGACAGGCUCCUCGUUUGCACACACAGGGGUCACAUCCAGGUGUCACGGCCCUCUGUGGUCUCACACCUGCUCUGGGCUGCCAGCGUUGGGGAUGGGGCCAGGGAGGAAGGCCUCAGCCCUCUUCGGCUCAGGGACCUACUCUGGCACUAAGCCAUGCUGUCCUCCCUCCCCUGUCCUCACACCUCUGCCCAGGCCACAAACCUCCCCGAGGGGCAGGCAGCUCACUGAAGCAAGCCUUCAGACUCUCCUCCAUGUUAGAGUCCAUCCACGACCGCCUCAAGUUCCUGUCAGGUUUGUGAACUUUUGAUACCUCUUGGACCCCUGUGGGCUCUCCUUCUGCUCCUGGGGUGUGCCCUUCCUGUCCAGGGCUCUCCAGGGCUCUCUGUCCCCAUAGAUGGGCCACUUGAAGAGCUGGUUGUCACUGAAGACUUCCAGGGCCUGCAGGCAGAGGUGCAGGCUGGCUCUGAGGAACUGGAGCACAUGGAAAAGAACCUGAGACAGCAGCUGCUGGGGGCCCUGGGGAGGAUCCUCAAGGACCCGCUGGCCCUGCAAGCUUUAGAGUCCUCAGUAAGUGGGGCUGUGUGGGGGUGGAAGGGUCUGCCCAGCCAGCUCAGGCUCAUGCACCCUGUCUGUGCCCCAGCUGGAGCAGGGCCUAUGCUAUGGCGGGCAAGUGGAGCAGCUGGAUGGCCCGGCAGGUGCUGUCCUCGAG